GUGAGCUCUCGCUGUGCGAACACAGUCCAGGGGAAUUGAUGUAGGGAGUGAGCGUUCAGUAACAUAGUUCAUAUUUGCACUGUGCUGUGAAAGUGACUGUCUACAAAUAAGCAUGUUUUUCUCUGGCACCCAAUGUUCAAAGCUUUAACUUCUCCAGCGAUCAUAAAUCAGUCUGAUCUGGGCUCCU